rnacentral:rRNA from 1 species
UACGUAGGGUGCAAGCUUUGUCCGGAAUUAUUGGGCGUAAAGAGCUCGUAGGCGGUCUGUCGCGUCUGCUGUGAAAACUCAGGGCUUAACCCUGAGCUUGCAGUGGGUACGGGCAGACUAGAGUGCGGUAGGGGAGACUGGAAUUCCUGGUGUAGCGGUGAAAUGCGCAGAUAUCAGGAGGAACACCGGUGGCGAAGGCGGGUCUCUGGGCCGUAACUGACGCUGAGGAGCGAAAGCAUGGGGAGCGAACAGG